UACAGAGGUCUCAAGCGUUGUUCGGAUUCAUUGGGCGUAAAGGGUGCGUAGGCGGCGCGGUAAGUCAGGUGUGAAAUUUCGGAGCUUAACUCCGAAACUGCAUUUGAUACUGGCGUGCUUGAGGACUGGAGAAGAGUGGAAUUCCACGUGUAGCGGUGAAAUGCGUAGAGAUGUGGAGGAACACCAGUGGCGAAGGCGACUCUUUGGCCUGUAACUGACACUGAGGCGCGAAAGCGUGGGGAAGCCAAACAGGG
rnacentral:rRNA from 1 species